UACGUAGGGUGCGAGCGUUGUCCGGAAUUAUUGGGCGUAAAGAGCUUGUAGGCGGUUUGUCGCGUCUGCUGUGAAAAUCCGGGGCUCAACCCCCGGACUUGCAGUGGGUACGGGCAGACUGGAGUGUGGUAGGGGAGACUGGAAUUCCCGGUGUAGCGGUGAAAUGCGCAGAUAUCAGGAGAACACCCGUGGCGAAGGCGGCUCUC
rnacentral:rRNA from 1 species